rnacentral:rRNA from 1 species
CGAACGCUGGCGGCAGGCCUAACACAUGCAAGUCGAACGUGAAGCUUUCCUUCGGGAAAGUGGAAAGUGGCAGACGGGUGAGUAACGCGUGGGAACGUGCCUUUCGGUUCGGAAUAACCCAGGGAAACUUGGGCUAAUACCGGAUACGCCCUCCGGGGGAAAGAUUCAUCGCCGAAAGAUCGGCCCGCGUCGGAUUAGCUUGUUGGUGGGGUAACAGCCUACCAAGGCGACGAUCCGUAGCUGGUCUGAGAGGAUGAUCAGCCACACUGGGACUGAGACACGGCCCAGACUCCUACGGGAGGCAGCAGUGGGGAAUAUUGGACAAUGGGCGCAAGCCUGAUCCAGCCAUGCCGCGUGGGUGAAGAAGGCCCUAGGGUUGUAAAUCCCUUUCAGCGGGGAAGAUAAUGACGGUACCCGCAGAAGAAGCCCCGGCUAACUCCGUGCCAGCAGCCGCGGUAAU